UACGUAGGUGGCGAGCGUUAUCCGGAAUUAUUGGGCGUAAAGGGUGCGCAGGCGGCCGAUUAAGUUUGCGGUGAAAGCGUGGGGCUCAACCCCAUACAGCCACAGAUACUGGUCGGCUAGAGUACUGGAGAGGAAAGUGGAAUUCCAUGUGUAGCGGUAAAAUGCGUAGAUAUAUGGAGGAACACCGGUGGCGAAGGCGGCUUUCUAGCCAGAGACUGACGCUCAUGCACGAAAGCGUGGGGAGC
rnacentral:rRNA from 1 species